AACGUGACUAUAGGUACUCUAUGAUCACACUUUCAUUAGUUUGUGUGACAGUGUUUGGUUACCCUCAAAAUUCACCCCAAAAAUUUCAAUUCUCUCUGCUAAUCUCUCCAUCUUUCAGUCAGCCUACUCAUACCCAUUACUCACUGAGACACGCGUCACUAAUCCUCCCUCAUAUAAAAACCCUAACCCAUCUUCCUCACACAAGCCUGGACAGGGAGAGACAGAUCUGGAGAAGAAUCAGGAGAGAGAGUGAUCCGCCCACACUCCGGCAGCAGCCGGCAUCGAUGACGACUGCGAUGAUAGGGGUAAACAACAAUGAAGACCAUCGUCCAUUGAGACGAUAGUGGUUCCGGCGAAUGGUACGGUGGUUAUUGGUGGCGCAUCGGACCAGAUCUCCGGUGACACUAGAUAAUCCCUGACGAAAGUACUUGGUAAUGAGACAUGUAUUCUUAGAGUUAAUCUCAAUGUGAUGGUUGCAAACAUAAAGUAAAGAAACUUCUUCAAAUAAUUGAUGGUAUUCUCUUUUUUUUGUCAUUUUUUCCUUAAAUUAUUCUGUACUUUGAAAUAAUGAUAUGACGUUAUGACUCUUAGGGCUGUUCAAAAAACUCGUAGCUUGUGUCUCGCUCGAAGCUUGCUCAAAAAAAGCUCCGUUGUAAACGAGCCGAGCCCUAGCUAGACACGGCUCAGCUCGUGAGAUUUAUUAUACACACACAUGAUUUUUAAUAGUGUUAUAUGUAUAUUGUUCAUCAUCUGUAUCUUCGUUUUUGUUACAUCUCCUAAAAGUGCAUUAUAUGGUUGUAAGAGCAAACUUUAGAUGAAGCACUUGAAACCGAUUGUGAAUGAAGCAAUCCAUGCAUUUCCAAUAAAAACAACUUAAAUAUUAUGCAAUGGCCAUGCAGAUUCAGAAGUUGAAUCAUUAACCCAAACUGGUUUUGAACCCAAAUCGAACCCGAUUAGUUGAACCCGGUAUGGACACGAACCAUAGGGUUGAAAUCUGUUCGUAACCCAUACUUUCAAACCAGUCAUAACCCUGGUUUCAAACCGGUCAAACCCGAUCCCGAACUGGUUUGGACAAAAACCUGAUUUGACCAUCUUUGACCCAACCUGAACUGGUUUCAACACCAACCAGUUUAGGCUCAGAACUCGAUUUCUGCAUGACUGCACCUGUAGUCAGAGCGCUCUGUUAACUAUGGGGUCACUUUCACUUAUUGGCUGUUGUAACCGGACAAUAUAAAACUAAAAACAGUUGCUAUUAUUAUAGUUAUUGAACAAAUGCUCUUCCUUGCGAGUUAAAUCUUGAUUAGUUAUUAAGUUAUUCCAGCUGAAGUUAUGAAGUCCUUGAACAUUCCGAAGGGAGUAAGACGUAAGAGCAUUAAACACUCAUAGGUAACCUCCUUUCACUUUUUUGGGCUUUAUUUCAUCAAAAUUUUGUUCUACUUUUAAUUUUUCGGAUCAUUAAUUUAUGGAUAUCAAGUCAAAAUGAACUUUGUUUAUUACAAGCUGUGGUGUAUUAUAACACCAUGGUUACAGGAACCACGGUGAUGUUUUGGAGGCAGUGAAUUGCUUUUAUCUUGUUAAGUUUUCUCUUUUAGCUUAUACCCAACUAGUUUGUGAUAGAAAACUAGAUCAUCACGUAGUACUGACUUUUGAGAACAAAAUGUUUUCAGAGAGCAUUUGUUUUUGGAAAUACCUGAUAUAACCUGAUUUAGGUUGUGCAUAACAUAAAUACAUAAUCAAUCAUUUGGUCUCAUUUUGUAGGUAUUGAUUACUUGUCAGUUGCUGCACUCUUUGAGCUAACAACGUAAUCAGUAAAUUUACUCUGAGUUAUGUGGCAAUAUUAACUCCCUUGACUAUCUAUUUAUUAGCGUUAUUUUUUACUCGCGAGCCGAGCACGAGCUUCAAAAAACAUGACGAGCCGAGCUCGAGCCCAGUCAAGCUCGGGCUCGACCCGGCUCGUUUACAUAUCCUAGUUCAAAGUGUCGUACUGUGAGAUCUGCCUCUCCGUGAUGUGGGUCAGCAUCCUCUCUAUCAUUCUGCCUUGUUUUCGCUGUUCUUUUAAUUUAAACGGUCACGAACCGCAUUUUUUACAUCAUCUCUAGCACUGCGAGAUCUGCCUCUCUGUGAUGUGGGUCAGCAUCCUCAUGAAACCUAGUGAAGGUUGGAUCUUUUGCUAGAGGAUUUUUUCUUCUUCACUCACAGUGCUUAAAUUCAAACUACCAUGCCAGCAGGCCCAGUCAACGCUGUGAUUUUUUUGUUGGGAGGAAGAAUGGUUAAGAGUCGCUAUAGAGGGAGCAGAUCGCUAAUCGAUAGAUGAUACUGCAACUCCAAGCGACCAUUAACAGAGACCUAACACUACCCCGUGAGCUUCCCCCUACAUAGAAGUAUUUCUUUGCACCAUCGGCGAUGUGGAGGUCAGUAACACAUUUGAUCGGAGGGCACGCAAUGUUGUAGCUGGAGUUGAGGUGAGAUGUGCAUUUUGUUUUUACGGGUUAAUUACUUUCAAGUUAAUUAAUUUUAUGACAUACUUACAUGUUAUCUUUGACUUUAUUCUUUUGACAUACUGAUAGGUUAUCUUUGACUUUAUUUUUCUUACAUGCUAACAAGUAUGACUUUCAGUUGAGAGGUGUUAUCUUCCUUUAUAAAGAACAUACACAAUGAGUUCUCUAUCCAUCAAUUCAGUUUGAUAAAACAUUAUCCGAAACAAAAUUGGAGGCUGCUACUGUUUCUAUUCUUUUAAAGGAGUCGAACUCAACAGUUCACCGUGCUUCUAUCAUCAUCCAAUAGCAUCAGAGGAUCGGCAACCCUUCUCAUCAAGCAGUGGUGCAGCUUCAACAGGGCUUCUUGUUGCUGGCACAAAAUACCGUGGGGAAUUCGAAGAAAGAUUAAAGAAGUUAAUGGAAGAAACAACACAAGUGAUGAUAUCAUUCUUUUUAUUGACGAGGUUUACACUUUAAUUGGGGCUGGAGCAGCAGAAGUUGCUAUUGAUGCUGCUAAUAUAUUAAAAUGAGCCCUUACCAUAGGUGAAUUGCAGUUAAGCAGUUAUAUUUUUCAUAAUUUGGUACUAAACUUUGCUUCAUGUUACAUAUAUUCAGUUUGUUUUUUAAAGUUGUGUAUCAAAGUUACCAAGGUAAUUGUUAUUGGAAUGGCUGGACUGCUUGAUUAUUUAUUUGUAUAACAUCAUUUUUUUCAUGUUUC